ACGGGUGAGUAACACGUAUGCAAUCCACCUGUAACAGGGGAUAACCCGGAGAAAUCCGGACUAAUACCCCAUAAUAUGGGCGCUCCGCAUGGAGAGUUCAUUAAAGAGAGCAAUUUUGGUUACAGACGAGCAUGCGCUCCAUUAGCCAGUUGGCGGGGUAACGGCCCACCAAGGCGACGAUCGGUAGCCGGACUGAGAGGUUGAACGGCCACAUUGGGACUGAGACACGGCCCAG
rnacentral:rRNA from 1 species